CAGCAGCCGCGGUAACACGAGGGGGGCAAGCGUUGUUCGGAUUUACUGGGCGUAAAGGGUGCGUAGGCGGACUGAUAAGUCAGGGGUGAAAUCCCAAGGCUCAACCUUGGAACUGCCUUUGAUACUGUUAGUCUUGAGUUCGAGAGAGGUGAGUGGAACUGCGAGUGUAGAGGUGAAAUUCGUAGAUAUUCGCAAGAACACCAGUGGCGAAGGCGGCUCACUGGCUCGAAACUGACGCUGAGGCACGAAAGCGUGGGGAGCAAACAGGAUUAGAUACCCCGGUAGUCCCUGUCUCUUAUAA
rnacentral:rRNA from 1 species